rnacentral:rRNA from 1 species
AGUCACUGACAUUAGAUACCCGGGUAGUCCCAGCCGUAAACAAUGUGCGUUAGGUGUGUCGGUAACCACGCGUUACUGAUGCGCCGAAGAGAAAUCGUGAAACGCACCACCUGGGAAGUACGGUCGCAAGGCUGAAACUUAAAGGAAUUGGCGGGAGCACCACAACAGGUGGAGCCUGCGGUUUAAUUGGAUUCAACGCCGGACAUCUCACCGGAUAAGACAGCUGAAUGAUUGUCAAUCUGAAGGUUUUACAUGACUAGCUG